rnacentral:rRNA from 1 species
ACGGGUGAGUAAUACAUCGGAACGUGCCCUGUAGUGGGGGAUAACUAGUCGAAAGAUUAGCUAAUACCGCAUACGACCUGAGGGUGAAAGUGGGGGACCGCAAGGCCUCAUGCUAUAGGAGCGGCCGAUGUCUGAUUAGCUAGUUGGUGGGGUAAAGGCCCACCAAGGCGACGAUCAGUAGCUGGUCUGAGAGGACGAUCAGCCACACUGGGACUGAGACACGGCCCAGACUCCUACGGGAGGCAGCAGUGGGGAAUUUUGGACAAUGGGGGCAACCCUGAUCCAGCAAUGCCGCGUGUGUGAAGAAGGCCUUCGGGUUGUAAAGCACUUUUGUCCGGAAAGAAAUCGCACUUACUAAUAUUAGGUGUGGAUGACGGUACCGGAAGAAUAAGGACCGGCUAACUACGUGCCAGCAGCCGCGGUAAUACGUAGGGUCCAAGCGUUAAUCGGAAUUACUGGGCGUAAAGCGUGCGCAGGCGGUUGUGCAAGACCGAUGUGAAAUCCCCGGGCUUAACCUGGGAAUUGCAUUGGUGACUGCACGGCUAGAGUGUGUCAGAGGGGGGUAGAAUUCCAC